rnacentral:rRNA from 1 species
AGCUACAGGCUUAACACAUGCAAGUCGAGGGGAAACGAUAGAGAAAGCUUGCUUUUUCUAGGCGUCGACCGGCGCACGGGUGAGUAACGCGUAUCCAACCUGCCCAUCACUUGGGGAUAACCUUGCGAAAGUAAGACUAAUACCCAAUGACGUCUCUAGAAGACAUCUGAAAGAGAUUAAAGAUUUAUCGGUGAUGGAUGGGGAUGCGUCUGAUUAGCUUGUUGGCGGGGUAACGGCCCACCAAGGCGACGAUCAGUAGGGGUUCUGAGAGGAAGGUCCCCCACAUUGGAACUGAGACACGGUCCAAACUCCUACGGGAGGCAGCAGUGAGGAAUAUUGGCCAAUGGGCGAGAGCCUGAACCAGCCAAGUAGCGUGCAGGAUGACGGCCCUAUGGGUUGUAAACUGCUUUUAUAAGGGAAUAAAGUGAGUCUCGUGAGACUUUUUGCAUGUACCUUAUGAAUAAGGACCGGCUAAUUCCGUGCCAGCAGCCGCGGUAAUACGGAAGGUCCGGGCGUUAUCCGGAUUUAUUGGGUUUAAAGGGAGCGUAGGCCGGAGAUUAAGCGUGUUGUGAAAUGUAGAUGCUCAACAUCUGCACUGCAGCGCGAACCGGUUUCCUUGAGUACGCACAAAGUGGGCGGAAUUCGUGGUGUAGCGGUGAAAUGCUUAGAUAUCACGAAGAACUCCGAUUGCGAAGGCAGCUCACUGGAGCGCAACUGACGCUGAAGCUCGAAAGUGCGGGUAUCGAACAGGAUUAGAUACCCUGGUAGUCCGCACGGUAAACGAUGGAUGCCCGCUGUUGGUCUGAAUAGGUCAGCGGCCAAGCGAAAGCAUUAAGCAUCCCACCUGGGGAGUACGCCGGCAACGGUGCAACUCAAAUGAAUUGACGGA